GGUGAACGCUGGCGGCGUGCCUAAUACAUGCAAGUCGAGCGAACGGACGAGAAGCUUGCUUCUCUGAUGUUAGCGGCGGACGGGUGAGUAACACGUGGAUAACCUACCUAUAAGACUGGGAUAACUUCGGGAAACCGGCGCUAAUACCGGAUGAUAUUUUGCACCGCAUGGUUCAAAAGUGAAUGACGGUCUUGCUGUCACUUCUAGAUGGAUCCGCGCUGCAUUAGCUAGUUGGUAAGGUAACGGCUUACCAAGGCAACGAUGCAUAGCCGACCUGAGAGGGUGAUCGGCCACACGGGAACUGAGACACGGUCCAGACUCCUACGGGAGGCAGCAGUAGGGAAUCUUCCGCAAUGGGCGAGAGCCUGACGGAGCAACGCCGCGUGAGUGAUGAAGGUCUUCGGAUCGUAAAGCUCUGUUAUUAGUGGAGAACAUAUGUGUAAGUAACUGUGCACAUCUUGACGGUACCUAAUCAGAAAGCCACGGCUAACUACGUG
rnacentral:rRNA from 1 species